GGGGAUAUAGCUCAGUGGCACAGUGCCUGCCUGGAUAGCAGGAGGUCUUGAGUUUGAUUCCUGGUACCCUCC
rnacentral:tRNA from 1 species